rnacentral:lncRNA from 13 species
GGGCCCCGGAGGGUCUGCAGAAGAGACCUGGAGGCCGGCAGAGGGAUCUCGCGCCCUGCCCAGCCCCGGCCCGGGAGGGUCCUGCUGGGCUGUCCCGGAGGCAGCUGUAAAGGGGAUAAGGAGUCCCGGGAGUGGGAGGAAGGCACCAGCCGGGCGGCGGCUCCACAAAGGACGCGGGCCCGGGGCGCGGGAGAGGCGCGCGGGGAGGGGGCUGCAGCGCCGCGGCGCGCACACAAAGGCGGCAGGCGGCGGUGGGGGGGCUCGGCACUCACAGGGCGAGCGGACGCCGUCCAUGCUCGCGGCCCGGCGGCCGGGGCGGGCGGGCGAGGCAGGCACUAUCACGCUUCGAGGACGGGGUCCGAGUUCCGGGCGAGAUCCGCGCUGUGGUGGGGGCCGCGGCGACGCUCCGGCUCCUGCGCUCUGCUCUCUCGGGCCGGGCCACUGCGGGGCCGCGCUCCCGCGUGCUCCGGCCGGCUUCGCGCGGCUCCGCUCCCGCACCAGCUCCGACCCGGCGCGCGGGGAGGGCGGGACUCCGCUCGCCCCGCCCCGGACCAGCGCAGGGGGCUGGGCCUGGCACGCCCACCUGGCUGCGGAGUGGCGGGCGGGCGCGCGCGGCCACCUGCGGGCUGGCUACCUGGGCUCCCACCUGCGGCUCUUUGCUCGAGGCAGCGCUCCUGCCCUUUGAAGCUCUUUGGAACGCUCCGCAGAGCUGUCGAUUGCAGAGGACCCCGUUUGUUCCUGAAAGGAGGCAGCAGGCUCAACGCCUCAGCACGCCGCAGCCCGGCGCGCCAGACCUCAAAGCCCUGUGCCGGGACAGAAGGCAGACUAGGAAGAAAAGGACUAGGGGUAUCGCCAUCCUCGGGAGCCCGGCUUGGGGCUAAGCCUGGUGGGGUUCAGCGUGUCCUUUCCUGCCCUCACUUCACCACCAGGAACCAUGAGGACCUCAUCAUCACCCAGGGAGUCACUGAUGAUCAUUGUGCCCAUUUUACAGUAGAGCAAACUGAGGCCCCAAAGGCGGAAGUUACAUGCUCUAAAUCCCAGAACUUCCAAGACAGAGGCUGA